rnacentral:rRNA from 1 species
UUAAGCGACUAAGCGUACACGGUGGAUGCCCUGGCAGUCAGAGGCGAUGAAGGACGUGCUAAUCUGCGAUAAGCGUCGGUAAGGUGAUAUGAACCGUUAUAACCGGCGAUUUCCGAAUGGGGAAACCCAGUGUGAUUUGUCACACUAUCAUUAACUGAAUCCAUAGGUUAAUGAGGCGAACCGGGGGAACUGAAACAUCUAAGUACCCCGAGGAAAAGAAAUCAACCGAGAUUCCCCCAGUAGCGGCGAGCGAACGGGGAGGAGCCCAGAGCCUGAAUCAGUGUGUGUGUUAGUGGAAGCGUCUGGAAAGGCGCGCGAUACAGGGUGACAGCCCCGUACACAAAAAUGCACAUGCUGUGAGCUCGAUGAGUAGGGCGGGACACGUGGUAUCCUGUCUGAAUAUGGGGGGACCAUCCUCCAAGGCUAAAUACUCCUGACUGACCGAUAGUGAACCAGUACCGUGAGGGAAAGGCGAAAAGAACCCCGGCGAGGGGAGUGAAAAAGAACCUGAAACCGUGUACGUACAAGCAGUGGGAGCACGCUUCGGCGUGUGACUGCGUACCUUUUGUAUAAUGGGUCAGCGACUUAUAUUCUGUAGCAAGGUUAACCGAAUAGGGGAGCCGAAGGGAAACCGAGUCUUAACUGGGCGUUAAGUUGCAGGGUAUAGACCCGAAACCCGGUGAUCUAGCCAUGGGCAGGUUGAAGGUUGGGUAACACUAACUGGAGGACCGAACCGACUAAUGUUGAAAAAUUAGCGGAUGACUUGUGGCUGGGGGUGAAAGGCCAAUCAAACCGGGAGAUAGCUGGUUCUCCCCGAAAGCUAUUUAGGUAGCGCCUCGUGAAUUCAUCUCCGGGGGUAGAGCACUGUUUCGGCAAGGGGGUCAUCCCGACUUACCAACCCGAUGCAAACUGCGAAUACCGGAGAAUGUUAUCACGGGAGACACACGGCGGGUGCUAACGUCCGUCGUGAAGAGGGAAACAACCCAGACCGCCAGCUAAGGUCCCAAAGUCAUGGUUAAGUGGGAAACGAUGUGGGAAGGCCCAGACAGCCAGGAUGUUGGCUUAGAAGCAGCCAUCAUUUAAAGAAAGCGUAAUAGCUCACUGGUCGAGUCGGCCUGCGCGGAAGAUGUAACGGGGCUAAACCAUGCACCGAAGCUGCGGCAGCGACACUAUGUGUUGUUGGGUAGGGGAGCGUUCUGUAAGCCUGUGAAGGUGGCCUGUGAGGGUUGCUGGAGGUAUCAGAAGUGCGAAUGCUGACAUAAGUAACGAUAAAGCGGGUGAAAAGCCCGCUCGCCGGAAGACCAAGGGUUCCUGUCCAACGUUAAUCGGGGCAGGGUGAGUCGACCCCUAAGGCGAGGCCGAAAGGCGUAGUCGAUGGGAAACAGGUUAAUAUUCCUGUACUUGGUGUUACUGCGAAGGGGGGACGGAGAAGGCUAUGUUGGCCGGGCGACGGUUGUCCCGGUUUAAGCGUGUAGGCUGGUUUUCCAGGCAAAUCCGGAAAACUAAGGCUGAGGCGUGAUGACGAGGCACUACGGUGCUGAAGCAACAAAUGCCCUGCUUCCAGGAAAAGCCUCUAAGCAUCAGGUAACAUCAAAUCGUACCCCAAACCGACACAGGUGGUCAGGUAGAGAAUACCAAGGCGCUUGAGAGAACUCGGGUGAAGGAACUAGGCAAAAUGGUGCCGUAACUUCGGGAGAAGGCACGCUGAUAUGUAGGUGAAGUCCCUCGCGGAUGGAGCUGAAAUCAGUCGAAGAUACCAGCUGGCUGCAACUGUUUAUUAAAAACACAGCACUGUGCAAACACGAAAGUGGACGUAUACGGUGUGACGCCUGCCCGGUGCCGGAAGGUUAAUUGAUGGGGUUAGCGGUAACGCGAAGCUCUUGAUCGAAGCCCCGGUAAACGGCGGCCGUAACUAUAACGGUCCUAAGGUAGCGAAAUUCCUUGUCGGGUAAGUUCCGACCUGCACGAAUGGCGUAAUGAUGGCCAGGCUGUCUCCACCCGAGACUCAGUGAAAUUGAACUCGCUGUGAAGAUGCAGUGUACCCGCGGCAAGACGGAAAGACCCCGUGAACCUUUACUAUAGCUUGACACUGAACAUUGAGCCUUGAUGUGUAGGAUAGGUGGGAGGCUUUGAAGUGUGGACGCCAGUCUGCAUGGAGCCGACCUUGAAAUACCACCCUUUAAUGUUUGAUGUUCUAACGUUGACCCGUGAUCCGGGUUGCGGACAGUGUCUGGUGGGUAGUUUGACUGGGGCGGUCUCCUCCUAAAGAGUAACGGAGGAGCACGAAGGUUGGCUAAUCCUGGUCGGACAUCAGGAGGUUAGUGCAAUGGCAUAAGCCAGCUUGACUGCGAGCGUGACGGCGCGAGCAGGUGCGAAAGCAGGUCAUAGUGAUCCGGUGGUUCUGAAUGGAAGGGCCAUCGCUCAACGGAUAAAAGGUACUCCGGGGAUAACAGGCUGAUACCGCCCAAGAGUUCAUAUCGACGGCGGUGUUUGGCACCUCGAUGUCGGCUCAUCACAUCCUGGGGCUGAAGUAGGUCCCAAGGGUAUGGCUGUUCGCCAUUUAAAGUGGUACGCGAGCUGGGUUUAGAACGUCGUGAGACAGUUCGGUCCCUAUCUGCCGUGGGCGCUGGAGAACUGAGGGGGGCUGCUCCUAGUACGAGAGGACCGGAGUGGACGCAUCACUGGUGUUCGGGUUGUCAUGCCAAUGGCACUGCCCGGUAGCUAAAUGCGGAAGAGAUAAGUGCUGAAAGCAUCUAAGCACGAAACUUGCCCCGAGAUGAGUUCUCCCUGACUCCCUGAGAGUCCUGAAGGAACGUUGAAGACGACGACGUUGAUAGGCCGGGUGUGUAAGCGCAGCGAUGCGUUGAGCUAACCGGUACUAAUGAACCGUGAGGCUUAACCU